rnacentral:rRNA from 1 species
CGUAACAAGGUAGCUAUAGGUGAACCUGCUGCUGGAUCAUUA